GUCCACGCCGUAAACGGUGGGCGCUAGGUGUGGGGAACAUUCCACGUUCUCCGUGCCGCAGCUAACGCAUUAAGCGCCCCGCCUGGGGAGUACGGCCGCAAGGCUAAAACUCAAAGGAAUUGACGGGGGCCCGCACAAGCGGCGGAGCAUGCGGCUUAAUUCGAUGCAACGCGAAGAACCUUACCUAGGCUUGACAGUUGGGGAAAUCUGGCAGAGAUGCCAGGUCCGUAAGGGCCCCAAAACAGGUGGUGCAUGGCU
rnacentral:rRNA from 1 species